rnacentral:sRNA from 12 species
CGACCGCCGCUCUCUCAGCGGCUAAGGCCACACGGACAGCCGGGUCGAAUGCCGA